rfam:Drosophila grimshawi strain TSC#15287-2541.00 scaffold_14978 genomic scaffold, whole genome shotgun sequence.
CAAAAGGCCCUUUUCAGGGCCACAAAUCAUUCCUUUCAAAGAAUUC